AGCUUCUUCUUCUUCUUCUUGGUGGGGGAGUAGUCGCUACCUUCGCUCUCUGACUUCUCUUCCAGAUCCUCCUCAUUUUCUGACAUCUCGUCAUUGCUCCCCUGGAAAAGACAAGGGGAGCGGUGAGGGCACAGGACACCCACCCCAGAAUGCCAGAGACCUGGGGCAGCAUUAAGCACUGGUCAAGGAGCACAAGCAGCGCAAUUAAGCAACAUUCCAUCAAUUAGCUGAGGUUGGACAUGUCACCAAUCAAUUCUUGUCGCUGAGGUCUUCUUUCCUGCAGUCUGGCUGGGACAACCCCACCCCACUCUUAGGCUCUCCCAGAAACUUAGCUCAGUUUCCCUCAUAGAAGACUGAACUUGUCACCUGCUAAUCGAUCACCAAGUCAACAUGCUAACAAGGCCUCCUUGCUUUCUCAGAAUACUGACUCUUCCCUGGACCUGAGGGGCGACUCCAGCUCCCACACUUGUCAGUAACAUGGAACCCCUAUAGCCACAGUUCCCUUACCCCAGGGUAACAGAGACCAGCCAGCUCUUCAAGACCAUGCCCAAGAGAUAGAGAGAGAGAGAGAGAGAGAGAGAGAGAGAGAGAGAGAGAGAGAGAGAGA
ensembl:processed_transcript